rnacentral:rRNA from 1 species
AGCGAACGCUGGCGGCAGGCCUAACACAUGCAAGUCGAACGAAGUCUUCGGACUUAGUGGCGGACGGGUGAGUAACACGUGGGAACGUGCCUUUAGGUUCGGAAUAACUCAGGGAAACUUGUGCUAAUACCGAAUGUGCCCUUCGGGGGAAAGAUUUAUCGCCUUUAGAGCGGCCCGCGUCUGAUUAGCUAGUUGGUGAGGUAAAGGCUCACCAAGGCUACGAUCAGUAGCUGGUCUGAGAGGAUGACCAGCCACAUUGGGACUGAGACACGGCCCAAACUCCUACGAGAGGCAGCAGUGGGGAAUCUUGCGCAAUGGGCGGAAGCCUGACGCAGCCAUGCCGCGUGGAUGAUGAAGGUCUUAGGAUUGUAAAAUCCUUUCACCGGUGAAGAUAAUGACUGUAGCCGGAGAAGAAGCCCCGGCUAACUUCGUGCCAGCAGCCGCCGUAAAAC